rnacentral:rRNA from 1 species
AGAGCGAACGCUGGCGGCAGGCUUAACACAUGCAAGUCGAGCGGGCGUAGCAAUACGUCAGCGGCAGACGGGUGAGUAACGCGUGGGAACAUACCUUUUGGUUCGGAACAACACAGGGAAACUUGUGCUAAUACCGGAUAAGCCCUUACGGGGAAAGAUUUAUCGCCGAAAGAUUGGCCCGCGUCUGAUUAGCUAGUUGGUGAGGUAACGGCUCACCAAGGCGACGAUCAGUAGCUGGUCUGAGAGGAUGAUCAGCCACAUUGGGACUGAGACACGGCCCAAACUCCUACGGGAGGCAGCAGUGGGAAUAUUGGACAAUGGGCGCAAGCCUGAUCCAGCCAUGCCGCGUGAGUGAUGAAGGCCCUAGGGUUGUAAAGCUCUUUGUGCGGGAAGAUAAUGACGGUACCGCAAGAAUAAGCCCGGCUAACUUCGCGCCAGCAGCCGC